rnacentral:rRNA from 1 species
CCUACGGGUGGCAGCAGUGAGGAAUUUUGGUCAAUGCACGAAAGUCUGACCCAGCCACGUCGCGUGAAGGAUGACUGCCCUCUGGGUUGUAAACUUCUUUUAUAUGGGAAUAAAAUGUUCCACGUGUGGGAUUUUGUAUGUACCAUAUGAAUAAGGAUCGGCUAACUCCGUGCCAGCAGCCGCGGUAAUACGGAGGAUCCGAGCGUUAUCCGGAUUUAUUGGGUUUAAAGGGAGCGUAGGUGGAGUGUUAAGUCAGUUGUGAAAGUUUGCGGCUCAACCGUAAAAUUGCAGUUGAAACUGGCAGUCUUGAGUACAGGAGAGGUGUGCGGAAUUCGUGGUGUAGCGGUGAAAUGCGUAGAUAUCACGAAGAACUCCGAUUGCGAAGGCAGUUCACUGGACUGCAACUGACACUGAGGCUCGAAAGUGUGGGUAGCAAACAGGAUUAGAUACCCUAGUAGUC